CGAGUAUACUUUAUUGGAAAAGCAGCUGGGGAAAGGGUGUAUAUCCUUGAAAAAGUACCUUGAGACAUAUCGCCAGCCCUCUCACUGCUACUCUGCUUCUCUAAAGGUAACAAAAACAAGCUUUUGCAGCUCUGGUCAAUUAAGGGUUUAGGCCUUAAAAGUUACCUAAACUUCAAAGAUGUUACAAAAGCUUCAAAAAGGUUCAGAUGGAGCAGAAAUAAUUUGUUCUUGCUUCAUCAGAACAUAUUUAUUGUCUAGGAUGGAAUUAAAGUGCCAAGGCUAAGAUCCUGUCAACUAGCUUGAGCUUUUAUUUUCUAAUCAAAAUGAAAUACAGUAGACUUCACUGCGUAUCGAGUUAAAACACAGCAAGAGUGGAGAAUUUAAGUUUAAAUUUAACAAGGUGUACACAAAAACUGUACUUUGUCUUGUCCUGCUGCUUUAGGUCACCGUUUCAUCAAAUUCCCCAUCCUCAUCCAGACAAAGCCACAAGAAGAGGAUGAAGCUGUAUUGUCGGUUUCCAGACCUAAGAAAGAGGUAUGAUAACCAUCUCACAAAGCCUCUAUCAAAGCAAAAAUAGGGGCCUUGAGAAGAUGGAAGGCAGUUGGAACCCUGAAAGCAACUUGAAAUUCACUUUUGAUUAUACCUUUUCUCAGUGAGCGUGUUCUGAGAAUUCUACACUAAAGAAAGAGAAGUGACCCAACUGGUUUUGCUUCUACUGCUCAGCCAUUCUCUUCUUUUUUCCAUUUGCCUUACAAGUACCAAUUUAAAUCAUGUGUCAGUCACAGUCACCACAUAAUGAAGAGAUGACAUUCAGAUUACAUUGCCUUUAUUAAAGUAAAAAAGAGGUUCCACUCACCACUCUCUUCCUCAUCUUAAACAAUGUUGGGAAUUGUUCACCAUCCCCUUUGCUCUCCCCAAAAUUAAGUGGCCAGGUGCCUCCCAACAUCUCUUCUGCACCUUUCUGAGUAAGGCAGCAGAAACAAAUGCUUCGUGGAUUUCAGCCCAACACAUGACAACCUCAGUGCUAAUUCCUCUCAGUGGCACUUUCCCAGGUGAAAUUCUUCAGGUACCACCUGAUCUUCACUCGGUCCACUUCUAAUUCACUCCCAUCUUCCUACCUUCAAUAAUUUAUUCGUUUCCAGUACUAUAUACUGAUAUGAAAGAAACCCUGUUUUAUCCAGAACAGCACUGCGGUAUGAAAUAGCCUCAAAAAACAGGAAACACUCAGAAGUAAAUUCCCUUUUCAGCCUCAAGAAUGUUUUGGGUUUUAGCUCAGGGAGGUGAUAGUUUGCCAACAGGGUUCCUAUACAAAAAAAAAAAAAAAAAAAAAACCCACAGUCUACAAGACUACAACAACAGCACAUGAGAAACAUCUUCAGCUCCAAAACUGUGAAAAAGCUUCCUGCACUGUCCUAAUGGGAUGGGGAGUCACCUAUGUGACUGAAGUGCACUUGCGUGCCUGGUUCCCAGCUGCCCUGGAGGUCACUGUCUAAUCUCACAUGAAUUAUUUUUUACUUUCCAAGGAGUUUUCUACAUAAGAGAGGAAGCACACCUCCUACUAAACAUCAUGAGAGCUCCACCCUCUGCACAUCUUCACAUCUGGGCACUUCUAAUGGACGUACUGUGCAAUUCCAGAUUACCCUGCAUCGUUGCUCUUUGCUGUAUCUUGGAGGUGGAUAUAACUCCAGUUCAGCCUCUCAUGUUCCUGUGGCCCAUUCCUGCUGGCACUCAAGGCCAGGUUGGAUGGGGCCCUUGGCAGCCUGAGCUGGGGGGGGGCAGCCCUGCCCAUGGCAGAGGGUUGGAGCUAGGAAAAAAAAUUGCCUGAGAUUACCCAGACUGAGCAAUCUUUUAGAUGAUCUUUUCUGGGCUUUCUCUCAAAGCAUGUCUGUACUUGAGGCAUUAUCAGUUGCCUAUCCAAGAUUCACUCAGGUAAGAGAAGAACUGGACAACCUUUACACAGUGAUUUAAAUUAGGAGCACAAAACACGAAUAAAUCUUUAAUAAAUUACAAAUAUCAGAGAGGAUAACUUGUGCUGUGCCUUUCCUUGGCCAGAAAGUAGCAAACCCAGCCUAACUAACUUGACCUUGGUUAUAAUAAUGAUUGGAGAUACUGCAUUUUAUCCCAU
ensembl:lncRNA